UACGUAGGGUGCGAGCGUUGUCCGGAAUUAUUGGGCGUAAAGCGCGCGCAGGUGGUUCCUUAAGUCUGAUGUGAAAGCCCACGGCUCAACCGUGGAGGGUCAUUGGAAACUGGGGAACUUGAGUGCAGAAGAGGAUAGUGGAAUUCCAAGUGUAGCGGUGAAAUGCGUAGAGAUUUGGAGGAACACCAGUGGCGAAGGCGACUAUCUGGUCUGUAACUGACACUGAGGCGCGAAAGCGUGGGGAGCAAACAGG
rnacentral:rRNA from 1 species